UACGUAGGGUGCGAGCGUUUGUCCGGAAUUAUUGGGCGUAAAGAGCUUGUAGGCGGUUUGUCGCGUCUGCCGUGAAAAUUCGAGGCUCAACCUCGAACUUGCGGUGGGUACGGGCAGACUAGAGUGUGGUAGGGGAGACUGGAAUUCCACGUGUAGCGGUGAAAUGCGUAGAGAUGUGGAGGAACACCGAUGGCGAAGGCAGCCUUCUGGGCCAAUACUGACGCUCAUGCACGAAAGCGUGGGGAGCAAACAGG
rnacentral:rRNA from 1 species